CUUUGUCUUUUUAAUUUUUGUUAUAAACAUUUAAAGAAAUACAUGCUCACAGGUAAAUGCAAUGCAAUUUCGAAUAAUAUAUAUGUCCAUUUGAUUUCUUCAGUUUUUAUGAAAAAUUACACUGAAACACUCAUAUGUUCAAGCUUAACUUAAAUUGGCGUAGAUUUAUAUUGUAAUCACCGAUUUUUUUUACAUAAUGUGAUUACUAUUUUCUGUCACCCUUGCUAACGUUUACCUCUGGGUAUGACGUAUUAACCUCUUUAUUCGGUGUGUUGAAACCAAAUUUGAUUCAAUUGUGAAAAAAACCCUGGUAUAACAUUAAUUGAUGCAUGUCACAUAAGUAAGAAUUUAAAAAAAAAUCCUUCUGUAGCAAAUGCUAAGGAAAGUACGAAGCGUUAUGCAAGAAAGCCCUGGUGUCUUAUAAGAGACGGUAAAAACAGUGCAACAAUGCAAACUAUUCAACUAUAAUUUAAUGAUGUUUUCGUUGGAGGUGGAACAUGUUUCCAAUUUCAGUUAGUUGUCGUCUAUCAUAGAACUCUGAUAUAAGGUAGCAAGAACAAACUAAAAAGUCGCAUACAAAUUAAAGACAUGUCCUUAUAUGGUGAACGAUCGACUUUUUUUUUUAAAGAAUUACAUGUAUGUCCUUUGGAAAUAUUAUAUUGUUAAAAUGACAUCGUUAGGGUUCUCGUCGGUACAAAUCUUGUCAGAUUUUUGUAAAACUUAUAAUUUAGUUUAAUAUCAGCAAUAUUUGGAACAAGUUUUAUAAUGGUAGUAGAUCGACUUUUUUUUUAGAACGUUACGCCCUUGGAAAACAAGUUCACUCAAGUUCAAGUCAUAUAAUCAUUAUCACGCCUGUUAACCCUUUUCCGAUUUCUUUUUGUGCCUCUGAAAAGAGAGUAUAUAGCAAGGUCAGAAAUGUGGACGCCAGACUUCCUUCCUCUAUUUAUUUAUUUUUUAAUUUGCAUAACCAAAAUAUAGAAGACAAUUACUGUACUAGUAUACAUUAAAGCUACAUGUGUUUUGUUAAACUACAUGUAUAUACGCAUGCACUAUUGUAAUUUGCUACAUUGUAAUUGGACAUGACAUGCAGAUUGAGAUUCUUUAUACAUUCGUAUAUCUAUUUCAGUAUAAUAAAUACAAUUUGUAACUAUCUAG
rnacentral:lncRNA from 1 species